rnacentral:rRNA from 1 species
UACGUAGGAUGCAAGCGUUGUCCGGAUUUACUGGGUGUAAAGGGUGCGCAGGCGGCUUGGUAAGUCAGAGGUGAAAGCCCGCAGCUCAACUGCGGAAAUGCCUUUGAUACUGCCUAGCUUGAAUAUGAUAGAGGCUCAUGGAAUAUGUGGUGUAGCGGUGAAAUGCGUAGAUAUCACAUAGAACACCAGUGGCGAAGGCGGUGAGCUGGGUCAUUAUUGACGCUCAUGCACGAAAGUGUGGGUAGCAAACAGG